GUGUGUGAGUGGAUCAGAUACAGCAGUGAUUAGCAGUGAUUAGCAUGGUGGUGGUGUAUGAGGUGUUAGUGAGUGUUGAGCUGGUGGUACAGUGAGUGGAUCAGAUACAGCAGUGAUUAGCAGUGAUUAGCAUGGUGGUGGUGUAUGAGGUGUUAGUGAGUGUUGAGCUGGUGGUACAGUUAGUGGAUCAGAUACAGCAGUGAUUAGCAUGGUGGUGGUGUAUGAGGUGUUAGUGAGUGUUGAGCUGGUGGUACAGUGAGUGGAUCAGAUACAGCAGUGAUUAGCAUGGUGGUGGUGUAUGAGGUGUUAGUGAGUGUUGAGCUGGUGGUACAGUGAGUGGAUCAGAUACAGCAGUGAUUAGCACUGAUUAGCAUGGUGGUGGUGUAUGAGGUGUUAGUGUGUGUUGAGCUGGUGGUACAGUGAGUGGAUCAGAUACAGCAGUGAUUAGCACUGAUUAGCAUGGUGGUGGUGUAUGAGGUGUUAGUGUGUGUUGAGCUGGUGGUACAGUGAGUGGAUCAGAUACAGCAGUGAUUAGCACUGAUUAGCAUGGUGGUGGUGUAUGAGGUGUUAGUGUGUGUUGAGCUGGUGGUACAGUGAGUGGAUCAGAUACAGCAGUGAUUAGCACUGAUUAGCAUGGUGGUGGUGUAUGAGGUGUUAGUGUGUGUUGAGCUGGUGGUACAGUGAGUGGAUCAGAUACAGCAGUUAUUA